UUCUUUCUGGCAGAAAAAUGCAAUAAAUUUAGAAUUUAUGGAUACUUGUUUGAGUGAAAGAAA
rnacentral:tRNA from 1 species